ACAAACAAUAGUUCUGAAAGUGCCUCCAGCCCUCCCCCAGCUACACCGAAUGAACUUGGCAUUAUUAAGUCCGGCUCCUCCAUAUCUUCUCUGUCCAAGCUAAACUUUCCCAGAUCCUGGAUGGCAUCCUGAUCUUUCUCUGGCUGGGCUCCAUUUGUCAGUCCUAGGAGGGGCACAACGCUCACCCCCAGCGCUCGGACCAUGGAGACGCUGAGGGACAUCUCUCUGGGUUCUGGAUCCUAGAUAAUCAUCAUAGAGGGAGCAGACGUGGAGAUUUGGAAACCAGCCUCUUCAAAGACACAAGGACAAGUGCAGGAAACAGGACCCCCCAGCUUCGCUGGAUUAUGUUUUGCUUUGUUUUGAUAAUUGAUGUGAA